rnacentral:rRNA from 1 species
UACGUAGGGAGCAAGCGUUGUUCGGAUUUACUGGGCGUAAAGGGCGCGUAGGCGGCAAAUUAAGUCAGCUGUGAAAUCUCCGAGCUUAACUCGGAACUGUCAGCUGAUACUGAUCUGCUAGAGUGCGGAAGGGGCAAUCGGAAUUCUUGGUGUAGCGGUGAAAUGACGUAGAUAUCAAGAGGAACACCUGAGGUGAAGACGGGUUGCUGGGCCGACACUGACGCUGAGUGCGCGAAAGCCAGGGGAGGCAAACGGG